AGGAUCUGCAGUGGCUACGAUAACCAAGUGCUACAAAAAUGCUGUGACAAGGAAUCUGAACAAUAGAGAUUUGACGGAAACAAAGCACUUUCGACGAAGGUCCUGCUGCUUGUCUUUAGCUCGGUACCAAUUAGAGCUUCACUGGAGGUGAAAAGGGCAGACAGGGUUGCUGAGUGGCUAGUUGGAGAGUCCCUGAGAGAUUACCCAAGAAACUCAGUUGCGGCACAUGGUGGAGCAGCCUCUCAGGAGAUUUUUAGGGAUGCAAGAUGAAAGGAGCUAAACACAACUAUAGGAAAUGGAGGCUGUUGUCAGCAUCUAGCUUAGGAUGGCAAGCCAUGCAUAGUUUCUCAGGUGCAACUCACAUGGAGACGUGGCUCUCAGGUAAAAGGUACAACUCAGGUACA
rnacentral:lncRNA from 1 species